UACGUAGGCAGCGAGCGUUGUUCGGAGUUACUGGGCGUAAAGAGUGCGUAGGCGGUUUUCUAAGUUUGGUGUGAAAUCUCCCGGCUCAACUGGGAGGGUGCGCCGAAGACUGGAAGGCUAGAGUAUGGGAGAGGUAAGCGGAAUUCCUGGUGUAGCGGUGAAAAUGCGUAGAGAUCGGGAGGAACACCGGUGGCGAAGGCGGCCUUCUGGACAGUGACUGACGCUGAGACGCGAAAGCGUGGGGAGCAAACAGGG
rnacentral:rRNA from 1 species